rnacentral:rRNA from 1 species
CCUACGGGCGGCAGCAGUGAGGAAUAUUGGUCAAUGGACGAGAGUCUGAACCAGCCAAGUAGCGUGAAGGAUGACUGCCCGAUGGGUGGUAAACUUCUUGUAUAGGGGAAUAAAAUGUACCACGUGUGGGAUUUUGUAUGUACCAUAUGAAUAAGGAUCGGCUAACUUCGUGCCAGCAGCCGCGGUAAUACGGAGGAUCCGAGCGUUCUCCGGAUGUAUUGGGGUUACAGGGAGCGUAGGUGGUUUGGUCAGUCAGUUGUGAAAGUUUGCGGCUCAACCGUAAAAUUGCAGUUGAAACUGGCAGUCUUGCGUACAGUAGCGGUGGGCGGACUUCGUGUUGUAGCGGUGAAAUGCU